AAGCGAUGAAGAGAUCUUAGUUUGUGUCUCGGAGAUGGAUUACAUCCAUUGAUGAUGGUAACACAACCCUCUAAGAAGUUCUGAGCGA